ensembl:lncRNA
UGAACUGGGCAGCACUGGCUCCAUCCAGGGGGGCCACCUUCAACGGUGGUGACCACGGAGGAACAGAGCCCUGGGUGGCUGACCGUCCCAAUUUUAAAUCUUAUUACAGACAGACAAGACACUUCUGGGAGCCAGACAGGAUUCCUGGGCAACUUCUGAAGUCCAACCCCCUCACUUGGUAAGAUGAGGAAACUGAGGCCCAAGGAGAUACAGUGAAUUGUCCAAGGUCACCCAAAGACAAUAUGAGAACUCCAACUCUAUUUCUCUCAACGUCCUUUCAUUGAGAUGCUGUUCUGGGGCCAAAGGGCAACACUAAAGUCUCAGAUGGCUUCUCUUAGGGUCACAGAGGCCUGCCUCAGACUGUUAAUGUCCAGAGGGAAUUGGAGGGGGCCCCAGGACUGCUGGGGGUCCUUCCUGUCAUUAAAUGAGACCUCCUUUCUGGGCCCCAGAGAAGAGGCGGGGGCAUCUUUUCCUUUUUUUGUUUUCAAUUUUUAAUCGUGGCAAAAUACACCUAAUAUCUUAACCAUUGUUAAGUGCACAGUUCGGUGCUAUUAAAUACAUUCAUUUUGCUGUGCAACCAUCCCCACCAUCCGUCUCCAGAACUCUUUUCAGCUGGCAAAACUGGAACUCCGUGCCCAUGAAAUAAUAACUCCCACUCCCCUCUCUCCCCAGCCGCUGGCAGCCACCCUUCAACUUUCUGUCUCUGUGCAUUUGGCUGCUCGAGGGGCCUCACAUAAGUGGAAUCAUACAGUAUUGAUCCUUUUGAGACUGGCUUGUUUCACUCAGCAUAAUGUCCUCAAGGUUCAUUCACAUUGUAGCUUGUGUCAGAAUUUCCUUCCUUUUUAAGGCUGAAUGAUAUUCUGUCGUAUGCUUAUACCACGUUGUAUUUAUCCACUCAUCAGUCGAUGGGCACCUGGGUUGCUUCUACCUUUUGGCCGUUGUGAACAGCGCUGCUGUGAACAAAGGUGUAUAAAUAACUGGCUGAGCCCCUGCUUUCACUUCUUUGGGGUGUAUACCCACAGCGGAAUUGCUGGAUUAUACGGUAAUUCCAUUUUUAAUUUUUAGGGGAAAUGUCAUACUGUUUUCCAGUGGCUGCACCAUUACAUUCCCAGCAACAGAGCACAGAGGUCCCAGUUUCUCCACAUCCUCCCCAAUACUUGUUAUUUUCUGGUUUUCUGACAGCAGCCGUCCUAACGGGGGUGAAGCGGGCAUCUUGGUUUCUGUCUGGAAGGUCCUCCUGAAGGGUGGCUCCGGAACAGGCCCGCGGGAGGGCCUUCCAGGGGGUGUCUCCUGGGGAGGGGGGAGGGGUGUUAGGUGACCAGCUUUGUAGUUGUUUUGAUCCAGCUGGCCCCCUGAAAUCCGUGAUAAUCACCAAGUUUUCCGAGAAUCUCUUUCUUCCUGUCUGACAUAGGUGCUUUUGUGAGUGAGACUGUAAAGUACUCAGUACCAUACACAGCAUACAGUGUGCGCUCAAUAAAUCUGAACUAUUGUUAUUAAUAUUAAGAAGACUUGAGGUUGCCAGAGUCGGGGGUGGGAAAUGGGUGAAGGAGGUCAAAAGGUACAAACUUCCAGAUAUAAAAUAAUUAAGUCCUGGGGGUGUAAUAGAUGGCGUGGUGACUGUAGUUAAUAAUGCUAUAUCGUGUAUUGGAAAGAUGCUAAGAGAGGAGAUGCUAAAAGUUCUGAUCACAAGAAAAAAAAUUUGUAACUAUGCAUGGUGACGGAAGCUAACUAGACUUACCGUGGCGAUCGUUUCUCAAGAUUUACAAAUAUCGAAUCGUUGUGUUGUACCUGAAACUAAUGAAAUAUGUCAAUUACAUCUCAAUUAAAAAGAACGACUACAGCUGCGUACGUCAACGAACGAUGACACCAAGGAAGGGUUCUGGAGGUCUGAUGGCCCCUUCCCGUCCAGGGUCUCCUAGAGGCUGUCCCUGCUACUUGGCUAUUUUUGGCCUGCCUCAUUCUGGGAUCCUGUCUGCCACCUCCUAACACCAGGAGUGAGGCCAGAGGAGACAGCUCUGGUCCCUGGGAGCCUGUCCCCCUCACCAGGUCCGGCCUGUGUUCCCUCUGCCUUUCCACCUAGCUUGCAGGCAGUUCACUCCUGAAGCUCUUCUCUGCUCUCUCUCUUCUUCCCUACCCCCAUUCCAACUCCUGCUGCUCCAGGGGAGGAGGGAGACGCAAAUUCCUCCACUGGUGUGAGGCUCCCAGAGUGUGAACUUGAGAAACCAGAGGUGAACGUCUGCCUGUGUGUGAGAGAAAGGCGGCUGAUGCUGCGUGAGCUCGUGGGAAUCAGGGCCGAGCGGGCAAGAUGGUACCAGAGGUCCAUGCAGAGAGGACACCAGGAACUUCCUGGGUCGGCUGAGGAAGCCCAGGGUGUGCAGAGGGCCAGAGGGACUCGUGAAAGAGCGAGCCUCGGUUCCGAAGAAGGAGAUCUGGGUUUUAAGGCCCCGCUCCAGCAAGGCCCUGCCCCACCUCUCUGGUCUUAUCUCCCCUUCUCUCCCUGUGGCCUUUCCUUCCUGUUCCUGCAACACCACGCUUGUCCCCUGGCCUGGAGCCCUCUUCUGCCUAGCUCUGGACGUGGCUGGUUACUUCUCAAGCUAUGGGCUCCACGCACAUGUCACCUCCCCUGGGCCCUUCUCUGACCACAGUGAAUUGGUCCUACCAGUCCCUCUGUGGAUUCCACCCGGAGCUCUUGGAAUUCUCUGAAAUGACCUUGUUCAUUACGUUAUUUUCUGGGUGGCCUGCUCCCUGCCAUUUUCCCAGUCCAUUGUCAUGGCUAUCUGUUGACCGAAAAAAUAACUCUGCUGUACGGCCUCACGUGAGCUAUUUCCCUACUCUGGGCCUCAGUUUCCUCAUCUGUGGAAAGGGGACAAAGAGCCCAGAAUCUUCUCUGACUCUCGCUCAGCACGGACUACAAGGAUCUAAGAAAAUUAGGGGGAUGUUUUGAAAAGCACAAAUGAGAAGUCACUUGCUGAGAGCAAAGAGACCAGCCUGUGGGAGAAACUGCUCAUUUAACACAUCUUGUUUGCUUUGCAAAGUGUGACUUCCCCCAGCCAACUCCUCAGCAAAUAGUCUCACCUCCUUCUCUGAGGAAGCAACGACUUCUUAAGGCGAUAAGAAUAUUGAUUUUGUUUACUCUCAUCUUUGCCUGAGAGGGAGAUGGUUCAAUAUUAGUUACUCUUGAGCCGAAUCCUGCAAUUUGGGGCUCUGGCAGGAACUUGCUAUGUGACCUUGGGCAGGUCUCCUUCCCUCUCUGGGCCCUACUUUUUCCAUCCCUCAAAUGAGAGAGUGGAAAUAUUUGAACUUGGACUCUCCUGGUGCUGGUAUUUAGGAUAACACAGCCUUGCCAGGAGGGAGGAGAAACCACGUUGUCCCAAAGUGCCCCUGGCAUGGGCCUUGUCCAGCGUGUCCAUUAAUAACACUUAAUCGGUCCCUGCUCUCCCUCUCAAAGCACUUUCCCCUCCAUUAUCUCCUAGCAGGCUCCGGGAUGGAGGUGGGGCAGCAAGCUGCUGUCUUCAUCCCAGUUUGGCAGAGAAGAACGGAGGAGAGAAGCAAGACUUACCUGCCUGCCUGAACAAUUUCCUACCAUUCUCUCCCUCAUUCUGCCUCAGGGCCUUUGUACAUGCCACUCACUCCCUCACCCUGAAAUAUUCUUUCCCCCGGCUACCCUCACUUCAUUAGCUCUCCACUCAAAUGUUUCCAAGAAGCUUUCUCUGAUCACCUUGUUCAAAAUAACAGCCCCCUACUCCCAUCUCUCUCCAUGCCCUUACUCUGUUUUAUUUUUCUUCAUGGCGUUUCUUGACAUUUGGCAUGAGAUGAUCUCUUCACUUGUUCAUUGUCUGUUUCCUCCUCUAGAAUGUCAGCUCCAUGAGAUGGGGAUUUUUGUCUGUCUUGUUCAGUGCCAUCUUCCCAGUCCCCAGCAGGGGCCUCGAAUAGCGUAAAUGCUUACUAAAUAACUGUUGAAUUGAAUUAACCUUCCAGGGACGCAGAAAUGGAAGUGACCUGGAAAGACAAAUUUCAUCUGUGCCUCUGCCACCAGGCUGGAGGUAGGGCCCCGUGUGGGUUUCUCUUUUGUGAGACUCUCUCAGCAGAAAUCAAGAUUCUUGGUGUCUUUAAAAGAAAGAGUGGUUUUAAUCGUGAGCAAGAUCUGCACGUUUUCUAUACCAGCCCUGUCUGACUUCUAACAGGGGUUGACGGAAACAGGAAAAGGGCAAGAUAUUUAGGUUACAUGUUGCAGAUGAGCGAUAUGCGCAAACUGCUAAAAAGAGAGAUUUGACUCCUUCUUGCUCAGGACUGGGGUUUUCUGAACCUUGUUCAAUAGUCCUGGGUGAUGACGGGCGUGAUAAUCAGAUUAACAGUGAUGGUCUUCACGGGAGUCAACAGGGCUUUCAACGCCUCAUUAGUGAGCCUCAAAACAGCCCUGAAAGGAGGGUACUGCUAGGAUGAUCCUCGCUUUACAGGUGGGGAAACUGAGGCUCUGUAACUCGAAGCAUGGGGUCAAUAUGCCCACGGUCAGACCGCCAGAUGCCAACGUAAGUGACCUCCGGAAAACUCCUUCACGGAAGGAAAGGUUCAGGGUUGGGGCGCUGGGUCAGACUGCCUGUCUCUGAAUCCAGGCUCUGUGACCUUGGGUAAAUUAAUUACCUGCGCUGUGCCUCAGUCUUCUCAUCUGGAAGAUGGGGAUGAGGAUGAUGAUGCUCGUGUCAAUGAAGAUUCACUGAGUUUCAUCUGCGAGAUGCUUAGGACAGAGAGUGGCACAUGAUAGAUGGGAAUCCAGCCUUGAUUAAGGGUGGGGCUAUGCUCUUGAUUUCUUGGUAUCUCACGAUGAAAUGAGAGAGUGUGGGCCACCAAGGACGCUUUUCCCUCGCCCGGUUAACUGUUCAGCAGAAAUCUGUGGAGCAUCUAAUCGCGGCACGAACUUCCAGAGAGAGCCAGGCCCUGAACGUCGCCACCCUGGCUCCGUCCCUCUCAGACCCUGCAGUCACGCCUCUAGAAGUAAUUUUCCCCCAAACCUGCUCAGAGCUGCUCUCCUGAAAAAGGAAACAUUUUUCUCCCCUUCCAGGGACAGCCCCAUCCCGCCAGAUUUCUCAGAAGAGUAUUGGGCUCCUGACCCACUCCUCGCCCGCCUGGGUGCAGGCCUGUCCGGCCCCUCUGAGGCCGGCUUCCGCCCAGCAUCCCUCCCCAAGGUCACCAGUGACCCCGCUGCCGAGCCCCAGCAGUCUCUUCUGGUCUUCACCGCAUCAGCUCUGGGGCUUUUGUGGAGGCUCUUGCAGCCCUUGCUUCUGGAAUUUCUUGGUUCCUGUAAAGCUGCUCCUCCGUGGGUCCCCUCCCUCCCGGACCUCGGCUUCUCCUGGUCUCUCCUCCCUCCUCCGCAAGAAACACUGUGUCCAAGGGGACAAGCAGGAUGUUCGUGACAGCAGUGCUCCUAAUAAUGGAAAAUCGGAAGCAACCUGAGGGUCCACCCACAGAGGAAUGAAAAAGAAAUCUUGCCUAUUUCUAUCACAGAUUACGUGCAGCAGGGUCAAGAAGGAAAUAGAUCUGUUAGUGGCGACUAGUGGCGACAUGGAAAGACCUGUGACUUACGUUACAGAGGGGAAGAAAGCAAGUUGCAGAGUGAUACCCACGCUAUUCCUGCAUUCCACAGAUAUUUUUGGGGCUUCUGCUCCACAACUGACACUGUUCUAGACACUGGGAAUACAGCAGUGAACAAAACGCGCUCCCUACCCUGGCUGAGCUGACGUCCCACCAGGGGGAGGGCAGAGGCAGGAAUAAAUGGUGGUAAGUACAAUGAAGAGAGACAGAAAGGGGGAUGGUUUCCCAUUUCUGUAAAAAGAAUCACCACAAAAUAAUACUAUGUGUUUUCUAUGGGUAUUUAUUUAUGUAUAUAAAUGCACUAAAAAAGGUCUGCAAGGAAGCACCCCAAACUGCUGACAGUCUGUUCUGCGGGAGCAGUGGGUGCUGGGUGGCUGUCCAAAGGCACUUCAGCUUUACGGGAGGAUAUACCCAUGUAUUUCUUGUGUAAUGAAAAAUUAAUGAUAGUAAGCAACUGGAAGCCUCCGACAGUGCUGCUGGAAAUAUAAAAUGGUACAACCACUUCGGAAAACUGUUGGUAAUUUCUUAUGAAAGCUGAACACGUGACUCGGCAAUCCUACUCCUAAGUAUUUGCUUAAGAAAAAUGAAAACCUGUGUCCACACGCAGACUGGCCCACCAAUGUUUACAGUGGCGUCAUUCAUACGGGUCCCAAAGUGGAGCCAACCUGAAAGACCAUCACGGGGUGCUGGGUGAACACGGAGUACAUCCUUGCCCUAGAGCGCUACUCAGCAAUGAAAAGGAGCAGGCCACUGAGACGUGGAUGAACCUGAAAGCAUCACACUGAGUGAAGGAAGCCAGGCGGCAAAGUGCACACACCAUAUGACUCCAAUUACAUGACAGACAAAACGAAUCUGCGCUGAUGGAAAUCAGAAGGACGGCUGCCUGUGGGGGUCAUGGGCGGACUGGAAGCGGACCUGAGGGAACCUUCCGGGAUGAUGGGAACGAUCUCGAUUUUCGUUGGAGGGGUGUACACAGAGUGCAGGCAUUUGUCAAGAUUCAUUGAAUCAUACGCCUCAGAUCUGUGCCUUUCAGUGUAAGUAAUUUUACCUUGAUAAUAAUAAUAAAAUAACCACCAAAGACGGGGAGGAAUGCUCUGACCUGCUAGGAGUGUUCAUUUCUAAAUCGUGGAAAGGUAGGUGAUUUUCAUUUUCUUCUAUAUGCUCACCUGGGUUGUUUGAAGGCUUCAGCAAUGCACAUGUAUUCCUUUUGUGAUCAGAAGAAAAAAAUGUAAAAGAUCUUAUGGCC